GACGAACGCUGGCGGCGUGCUUAACACAUGCAAGUCGAACGGUGAAGCGCCUUCCUUUUUGGUGGGUGUGGAUGAGUGGCGAACGGGUGAGUAACACGUGAGUAACCUGCCCCCUUCUUCUGGAUAACCGCAUGAAAGUGUGGCUAAUACGGGAUAUUCUGGGUCUGUCGCAUGAUGGGUCUGGGAAAGAUAUUGUUUCGGUGGGGGAUGGGCUCGCGGCCUAUCAGCUUGUUGGUGGGGUGAUGGCCUACCAAGGCGGUGACGGGUAGCCGGCCUGAGAGGGUGGACGGCCACAGUGGGACUGAGACACGGCCCAGACUCCUACGGGAGGCAGCAGGGGGGAAUAGUGCACAAUGGGCGCAAGCCUGAUGCAGCGACGCCGCGUGAGGGAUGGAGGCCUUCGGGUUGUGAGCCUCUUUCGCUAGUGAAGCAGGCCUGCCUCGUUUGUGGGUGGGUUGACGGUAGCUGGAUAAGAAGCGCCGGCUAACUACGUG
rnacentral:rRNA from 1 species